GGCGUCGUCGCUCAGUGGUUAGCGUGCUGGCCCUGCACACCAGGGGUGGUGAGUUCAAACCUCACCUGGGCCU
rnacentral:tRNA from 1 species